rnacentral:misc_RNA from 1 species
GUCAAGUUCGAGUGGGGACGGACGAGGUAACGCGCGCUCGCCAUGGGGAGAAGACCUGCAAGGUGUUACAGGCAAAUUAAAAAUAAGCCUUAUCCAAAAUCCAGAUUUUGUCGUGGUGUCCCUGAUCCUAAGAUCAGGAUCUACGAUGUUGGAAUGAAAAAGAAGGGUGUGGAUGAAUUUCCUUUUUGUGUUCACCUAGUGAGUUGGGAGAAGGAAAACGUGUCGAGUGAGGCUUUGGAAGCUGCUCGGAUUGCUUGCAAUAAGUAUAUGGCUAAGUUCGCUGGGAAGGAUGCAUUCCACUUGAGGGUCAGGGUUCACCCCUUCCAUGUUCUGCGAAUUAAUAAGAUGCUUUCAUGUGCUGGGGCUGAUAGGCUCCAGACUGGUAUGAGAGGUGCUUUUGGCAAACCUCAAGGAACCUGUGCAAGAGUGGCCAUCGGUCAGGUUCUUCUUUCAGUUCGGUGCAAGGAUAGUAACAGCCAACAUGCACAGGAAGCCCUCCGUCGUGCUAAGUUCAAAUUCCCUGGUCGUCAGAAGAUCAUUGUUAGCAGGAAGUGGGGCUUCACUAAAUUCAGUCGGGCUGAUUACCUUGCUUACAAGGCAGAGAACAAAAUUCUUCCAGAUGGUGUUAACGCCAAGCUUCUUGGAUGCCAUGGACCUUUAGCCAAUCGUCAACCUGGAAGAGCAUUUCUACCUCAAACUGCCUAAGAUCACUAGUUGUUUCGUUUUGUUGUUGCAGUUUCUUUUGAUUUUGACACUUGAACAAGUCUUUAUUAUCAUAUCAUAUUUUGUUUGUUUUAACACACAUUAUUCCGGCAGUUUUAUUGAUCUAGUACGUUGGAGAUAUCA